rnacentral:lncRNA from 1 species
AGCAACCCGUUGGAGUCCCUUUCCACACUGUGGAAGGUUUGUUCUUUUGCUCUUUGCAAUAACUCUUGCUGCUGCUCACUGUUUGGGUCCACAUUGCUUUUAUGAGCUGUAACACUCGCCGCGAAGGUCUACAGCUUCAGUCCUGAAGCCGGCGAGACCACCAACCCACCAGGAGGAACAAACAACUUCAGACGCGCUGCCUUAAGAGCUGUAACACUCACCGCGAAGGUCUGCAGCUUCACUCCUGAAGCCAGCGAGACCACGAACCCAUCAGGAGGAACGAACAACUCCAGACGCGCCGCCUUAAGAGCUGCAACACUCACCGCGAAGGUCCGUAGCUUCACUCCUGAGCCAGCGAGACCACGAACCCACCAAAAGGAAGAAACUCCGGACACAUCCUAACAUCAGAAGGAACAAACUCCGGACACGCCACCUUUAAGAACUGUAACACUCACCGCGAAGGUCCACGGCUUCAUUCUUUAAGUCAGUGAGACUGAGAACCCGCCAAUUCCGGACACACAGCUACAGCCAAGCCUCUUUGCUUCUCUGGGCCAGCCUCUCUGGAGCUGAAUCGUGGCUGGCUGGAUUUGAGGAGCCUGCAUGGGCGCACUCUCUCUUUCUGAAUCCCAGCUAGGGCUCUCCUGGCUGUAAUUACUAAGACUCAGCUGCUGGGAAUUUCCACGCCUCCUACCUCUCUACAGGGCAGUCCCUCCAUAUUAGGAAACCCACUGGCACGCUCCGCCGUUAUCUUCGCAAGACUUCCGUUGUUGCCUCAAGUUGCAGAUUGCCUUUUAACAGAGAAGAAAGUGACAGAAAGAUGUCUCUGCUGGCAGCGUGGGGGGCAGGCUGGCUUGGGGAUGCUGGAGGCUGGAGCUCUAAGUAGAGGAUGGUGUUAUCCAAGACCCGGAGGCAUCAGGACCUGCAAAAGUGCUGUCAAAACAGGAAAAUGCUGUGAACUUUAACAAAAUUGUCAAGUUCACCAACUUUUUUUUUUCUCUGUUAAAGAUCUUGCUUGCUUGACUGGUUUUUCCAAAUUCCCAGAGCUUCUCUGAAGUCAGUCAAUAUGGCAUUAUUGUCAUUUGGGGAACAGUAAACCUUUGAAAAAU